GAUGAACGCUGGCGGCGUGCUUAACACAUACAAGUCGAACGGUGAAAGAGAGCUUGCUCUCUGGAUCAGUGGCGAACGGGUGAGUAACACGUGAGCAAUCUGCCCCUGACUCUGGGAUAAGCGCUGGAAACGGCGUCUAAUACCGGAUACGAGCUGCGAAGGCAUCUUCAGCAGCUGGAAAGAACUUCGGUCAGGGAUGAGCUCGCGGCCUAUCAGCUAGUUGGUGAGGUAACGGCUCACCAAGGCGUCGACGGGUAGCCGGCCUGAGAGGGUGACCGGCCACACUGGGACUGAGACACGGCCCAGACUCCUACGGGAGGCAGCAGUGGGGAAUAUUGCACAAUGGGCGAAAGCCUGAUGCAGCAACGCCGCGUGAGGGACGACGGCCUUCGGGUUGUAAACCUCUUUUAGCAGGGAAGAAGCGAAAGUGACGGUACCUGCAGAAAAAGCACCGGCUAACUACGUG
rnacentral:rRNA from 1 species